GGAGGGUACAGCUCAGGGGUAGAGUGCAUGCUUAGCAUGCACGAGGUCCUGGGUCCAAUCCCUAGUCCCUCCG
rnacentral:tRNA from 1 species